UACGUAGGGUGCGAGCGUUGUCCGGAAUUAUUGGGCGUAAAGGGCUCGUAGGCGGUCUGUUGCGUCGGGAGUGAAAACUCAGGGCUUAACCCUGAGCCUGCUUCCGAUACGGGCAGACUAGAGGUAUGCAGGGGAGAACGGAAUUCCUGGUGUAGCGGUGAAAUGCGCAGAUAUCAGGAGGAACACCGGUGGCGAAGGCGGUUCUCUGGACCAGCACUGACACUGAGGCACGAAAGCGUGGGGAGCAAACAGG
rnacentral:rRNA from 1 species